rnacentral:lncRNA from 1 species
AAUAUGACUGCUAGUUUAUAUUAAUGCUCCUAAUAGUCUGUUGUUACGUUCCAUGUGGGAUAUGAGGUGAUGCCAGCAGUUCAAUUCCCAGGAGCUGUGCCUGUGUGACUUAGUGAGGCACUGGGAUCAUCUGAUCAGUCUGACUAAGGAGCAUCCCCUGACUGAAAUGCUUGAAGACUGAGGACAUAAUGAUACCCUUUAAUUGCACAAGUCCUUUGUCAUCUUUAUCUCUACCCAGAGGAGAGGAGUUUUCCAAAACGAUGCCUGGAGGGUUUCAUGCAUGCAAGCUGAUUCUCCCUGAGCCCUCUCUGUAAGAGCAGAGGAAAAGGCAG